CUUUAAUUGUGAUGGAGUGACGGAGAAGGAUAAGCAUACCUAUUAUUGGAUUUAGGGGUAAGUAGUUACUGGUGAUUGUAGGCAAAUCCGCAAUCUAUAACCGGGAGCUAUGAUGCAUAGGACAAUUGUCUGAAUUUGCCAAUUCCAUGCUUCCUAGAAAAGCUUCUAAACUUAAUGUUAUUGAAACCUGUACCGAGAACGGACACACGUCCCCAAGAUGAGUAUUCUAAGGCGAGCGAGAAAACUAGUGUUAAGGAACUCUGCAAAAUGACCCCGUAAGUUCGCAAGAAGGGGCGCCUAUGGUAACACAUAGGCCACAGUAAAUUAUGAGGGGCAACUGUUUAUCAAAAACACAACUCUCUGCUAAACCGCAAGGUGAUGUAUAGGGGGUGAAGCCUGCCCAGUGCCCGAAGGUUAAGUGGAUGCGUUAG
rnacentral:rRNA from 2 species